CCGCAGGAAGCAGAUUGUUCUACAGAAUGUGGAUUCAUUUGUUCAUGAGUUUGAAGAAGAGGAGGUGACACAGCGGGGACCUUCUGAAGAGGGCGACAGCACAACUAAUAUGUCGAUCACAGCGGCAGAUGAGAGUUUUUUAGAGGAAAAGUCUGUGUUUAAAAGGAGGAGAAGCAGAAGGAGGAGGAGGAGGUGGAGGUGCUCCGAAAAAAUCACUGCAAUGAUGCAACGGAGGGGAAUCGGUGCGGAGUUGGAUGGAGAUGGAGAUGGAGAGGCCAAAUUAAUUUCCAUCACAUGCACUUCACGUACCGCUGCCUUCCCUUCCCUUCCCUUCCCUUCCUCCCUCCUUCCCUCAAGUCCCUCCUUGCUUCCUUUUUUGUGCUGUAGUGUUUUCCCCCCCUUUUUUGCUCGUACUGUGUGACCUAAAAAUAGCAGCAUAGUUUUGAUCGUGCGCCAGAAAUAGACAGACGGGGAUCACUUGUAUAAAAAGGGAGGCGAUCCUGCUGCUGCACGAGCAAAAAAAAACUUGGACUGUCAGAGGAGAACAAAUGGAAGGAGGGAGGACUUCUUCUGCUCCUUCUUCAUCAUCUGUUGCAUUUCUGCUCACUAAAAUCUGUCUGUUUCUCUUUUAGAGCGCGGAGCGGCCGCGGCACGAGGACUGAAGUAGCAGGGAAGACGGAGCAGGAGGAGGAUCUGCUGCGGCGGCGGAUCCGGAUCCAGAGCCGGAUCGGAUCACCACAUGGGGGAAACCCGGAGCUGUCCAGCAGCAAUGGAGAGGAACACCGAACCGGGAUAGUCCUCUGAUCCGGAUCACACGGACCCCUCCUCUGAUGCUGAAGGAACGGUCAGGACAGGGACCCGGUUUGGAUCAGACUAAGGAGCAGAGACAGACCCUCAUCAUCAUCAUCAUCAUCAUCAUCAUCUCGAAGGCGUUGGAUACCAACAUCCUGAAGAGACGAUGCUGAAGAUGAUUCACCGCCUCUUAUACAUCAGUUAUCUUUUCACAGAUGCUCUCGGACAGGAUGAAUCUGAGCAGUUUCAACAAGUCGAUAGCUGGAGGUCUGUGGUGAACACACACAUUCGCAGACACGUUAACACACACAUAUGUCGAGCAGACACACUUUGACGAGUCACUUCUCACUCGUACACUGACGCAGACUGUUAACACUGACUCACACUCACACCUUUCAUUCACACACAUUCUCCUAAAAUAUUUCCACAUCUUAAUGAAUAGUAUUUAUAUCCUGCACAUGAUCCUGUCCCAGCAAGAACACACUA